AACGUACCCAGAUCUAAGGAAUAGCCACUGGAAACGGUGAGUAAUACCUUAUACGCCCUUCGGGGGAAAGAUUUAUCGGAUUUGGAUCGGCCCGCGUUAGAUUAGAUAGUUGGUGGGGUAAUGGCCUACCAAGUCUACGAUCUAUAGCUGGUUUUAGAGGAUGAUCAGCAACACUGGGACUGAGACACGGCCCAGACUCCUACGGGAGGCAGCAGUGGGGAAUCUUGGACAAUGGGCGCAAGCCUGAUCCAGCCAUGCCGCGUGAGUGAUGAAGGCCUUAGGGUCGUAAAGCUCUUUCGCCAGAGAUGAUAAUGACAGUAUCUGGUAAAGAAACCCCGGCUAACUCCGUGCCAGCAGCCGCGGUAAUACGGAGGGGGUUAGCGUUGUUCGGAAUUACUGGGCGUAAAGCGUACGUAGGCGGAUUAGUCAGUCAGAGGUGAAAUCCCAGGGCUCAACCCUGGAACUGCCUUUGAUACUGCUAGUCUUGAGUUCGAGAGAGGUGAGUGGAAUUCCAAGUGUAGAGGUGAAAUUCGUAGAUAUUUGGAGGAACACCAGUGGCGAAGGCGGCUCACUGGCUCGAUACUGACGCUGAGGUACGAAAGUGUGGGGAGCAAACAGGAUUAGAUACCCUGGUAGUCCACACCGU
rnacentral:rRNA from 1 species